GAUGAAGAACGCAGCGAAAUGCGAUACUUGGUGUGAAUUGCAGAAUCCCGUGAACCAUCGAGUCUUUGAACGCAAGUUGCGCCCGAAGCCACUAGGCCGAGGGCACGCCUGCCUGGGCGUCACACGUCGUUGCCCCCCCAUCUACUCCUUCGGGAUUGCGGGGGGGCGGAUGAUGGCCUCCCGUGCGCCUAGCCGCGCGGUUGGCAUAAAUACCAAGUCCUCGGCGACGCACGCCACGACAAUCGGUGGUUGCGAAACCUCGGUUGCCCGUCGUGUGCGUUCGUCGCGCAUCGAGGGCUCGAAAAAAUGCUCGGCUCCGGCUGGGCUUUCAACGCGACCCCAGGUCAGGCGGGGUUACCCGCUGAAUUUAAGCAUAUCAAUAAGCGGAGGA
rnacentral:misc_RNA from 1 species